rnacentral:rRNA from 1 species
GAUGAACGCUGGCGGCGUGCCUAAUACAUGCAAGUCGAGCGAACAGACGAGGAGCUUGCUCCUUUGACGUUAGCGGCGGACGGGUGAGUAACACGUAUGUAACCUACCUAUAAGACUGGGAUAACUUCGGGAAACCGGAGCUAAUACCGGAUAAUAUUUCGAACCGCAUGGUUCGAUAGUGAAAGAUGGCUUUGCUAUCACUUAUAGAUGGACCUGCGCCGUAUUAGCUAGUUGGUAAGGUAACGGCUUACCAAGGCAACGAUACGUAGCCGACCUGAGAGGGGGAUAGGCCACACGGGAACUGAGACACGGUCAAGGGUCCUAAGGGAGGCAGCAGUAGGGAAUCUUCCGCAAUGGGCGAAAGCCUGACGGAGCAACCCCGCGUGAGUGAUGAAGGUCUUCGGAUCGUAAAAAUCUGUUAAUAGGGAAGAACAAAUGUGGAAGGAACUGUGCACGUCUUGACGGUACCUAAUAAGAAAGCCACGGCUAACUACGUG